UGACCUUCACCAACUCUGGAGUCAACCUGCUGGUAGAAGAACAAACAACAUCACACAACAUCAAUAAGUUUCUACCAGAGUGCUGUGGACAAGGCCUUACAGAGUCCAAAUGGACA